AGAUAACCACCAAGGCAGAAUGUUGGCGUGUGGAAGUACCUCUACUCAGAGUGAUAGAGAAAACUAUGGCUCUGCUUUUACUGAAGGAAUGGCUACCGGAGCGGGCAGCUUUAUGAAUAUAAGGUGAAAAGGAUGUAUGGAGAAGUUUUGGGAGAGUCAGACAGUCCACGGAACUUGCAUUGACUUAGCAAUGAUCUAUGCCAGACGUACAACCCCUGCUGUCAUUGGUGAUACCACUGCUUGAAAAUAUGUCAACGUCCUGUAGAUCAAGUAAGGUUCCAGUCGAAGUCCUCCUGAAGAAUUUGUUGGAUUUCUGCCAGUUUUUGAUAUUGAACUUUAGUGCCUUUUGAGACUCUUGGCUUUUUAAUGGCACGCCUCAUUCUACCCAAAUGGAAGGAUUGGAGUGUGUUUAUAUUGUAUAUGUUUAUAGGCUUGCUAAUAUUUGCUUAGGCUUUCACAUUGUUUUCUGAGAUACUUCUCAACUAUGUCAUUGUGACUCAUUGUAUCACACUUCAAGACGCGUAUCUUUUACUCAAUUAGUGUAUGCACUGUGAAUCCAAACAUGAGAAUUCUAAGAUUAUAGCAACUGCAAAGUUACUGCAAGGACAAUGUUAGUUUUGUAAAAACCUUAAGUGACAAGCACAAGAUGCGAUAGUGCUGGGAGCUUUUCUCUUGUAACAUUUUAAUGCAUUUGUAAUGGUGACGGUAAGCAGAUACUACAUUUUCAUCUCAUAUGUUAGUAUUAACAUGAACUUAAAAGCAUGCAAGGUUUUUGUGUGUGAAGUGGUUAACUCAAAUAUUGGUAUAGAUCAAGGUUAUUAAUGUUGAUCACCUAUGGUGCAAGUUAAUCAUUUUUUUCCCUCUGCAUAUAAACACAAUGUGGAAGCAAAAUAUUGAGAUCAAACUGUUUUAUAUUUACACUUACAUAAAGAGUUACAACAUGUUUUACGUUAAGCAUAUUGAUUAAUGUAAGAUACUUUGAUGUUUUGAUAUGAAUGUGUUUUUAAUAUGAACAUGUUAACUUUUAUGUACCUGUAUUCAUGUGGAGUAUUGUGUGUAAUAUCACAAAGUGAUUUUUCUCUCAGAAUAAACAUUUUAAUUUACUUAUUGGUUGUGUGAAUACAUUUCAAUUAUACCACCUUAAAUUUUCACUGGGGUUGUACCCUUAAAGUACAGAUUAGUACCUUUUAAGGCUGCUAUGCUGUAAUGAUAUACACAGGUACAUUUCGGUCAUUGCAGGUACACAAGUGUACCUUGAUGGGUACAAAUG